UACCUCCAUGGAACCCCACGUAUGAUGUACCGCUUCCCAUUCUCGACAGUUUUGUGACAAAAUAAACAAAGACGAAGUCUUUUGUUCCCUGUGUUUUGUUGAUUUCAUUGAUGGCAGUAUACUUGGCAGAGGCUACGAGCUGCGCGCUACGGGUGCCAUCGUCAAAGUCUGCCUGGAUGACUAGGACUUUACGUUUGCCUGGGUUCGUUAACCAGGAG
rnacentral:lncRNA from 1 species